rnacentral:lncRNA from 1 species
UCUCUUCCAUCAUAGCUUUGCUGUGGUCAGUGGAUUGGGACUAUGUCAUUCACUGUGACUUCAUUUUUGUUCCAAAAUCUCUGAUGACGUCUAUCUUCGGGUUUUUUUCAGGAGUCUUUGUGCUGCUCGCUGUGGUGGUAUUUGCAGUACAAGUUGAUCAAAAGGCUAUACCUGCCGCUAGGAAAUGGGCUUUUUACUUAAGCUAUGCCAUCGUUUUUAUGUGCUUCUUGUCAGGUGGGUAUGGGGAGAAAUGUGCAUGGUUCAAAAUUAUUAUUGUGGAAAUCCAUUUCCUGUGUAGUCUAAAAGAUUCACUUUCUCAAGCUUUAGGAUCAACAUAGGCAUUCGAAUCUUUUAAAAAGGGAGGGAUAUAGCCAGAGACUGGGAAACUUCUUUUUUGGAUCCCAGCUUCCAAAAUGUUUUAGCCCAACAGGUCCAUCAUAGAUUUGUUUCCUAAGCUUGAGCAGUGCCUAGGUUAAGUCGGACUCCUGAACAUCAUUUAUUAGUAUUACACCAACUGAUGUCAAGACCAGAUACGUUCCUCUAACCUCUUCCCACCGCUUUCUCUUACAGGAAUUUACAACCUAGUGACCUACAAGCUAUCACUCUGGGGAACAGGAACAUCAACCACUCAUGUGGUUGAAGAAGUCCCCAGUCAUGAAGACUAUCCACGUGUAUAUAGAGUUUCCAUCAUAUGAGCAAAAAAAAUCUGUAUGCCAGAAUCUGAAUUGACCAUGGGCGUGCUUGCAUUGUGAAAUCAUCCCCUUUGCAAGACAGUUUACCAGCUACAUCAUCUGUUCUGAGAAAUGCUAUGCCAAAUGUCACAUUUGGGAGAGUCCCUCCAAUGGAAGGACAUUCUAGGUUUCUCUUCUGAUUUUGGCACAAUUGCAUAAAAAUGUCCUUUCUCUUGCUCCGCUGCACAAUACUGGAGAGCACAUUACUUUAUAUUUUUCCUGCUUCUUAAAACCUCUCUCACCUGCAAGGACUAUUAUUUCCCCCUUCCAUUCACUCAAUAUAUUUCUCUAAACAGCGUUUAGGUGCAUAAAGGUCUUCCCUUUCGCAAAUCUAUUGAUUGAUGUUAUAUAUUCCUUUACUGACAAAAAAACCCCCCGUUUUAUUGUUCUUGUCAUUUAGAUCAUUAAAAUAUCCUUUAGUCACUUUC